rnacentral:rRNA from 1 species
GGCUCAGGACGAACGCUGGCGGCGUGCUUAACACAUGCAAGUCGAACGGAAUCCAUGGUGUAGCAAUACACCGGAAGAUUUAGUGGCGAACGGGUGAGGAUCACGUGAGAAACGUGCCCCAGACUCUGGGAUAACAAUUGGAAACGAUUGCUAAUACCGGAUGACGUCGGAGAAUCGCAUGAUUCACUGACGAAAGAUAUUUCGGUUUGGGAGCGUCUCGCGGCCUAUCAGCUUGUUGGUGGGGUAAUGGCCUACCAAGGCAACGACGGGUAGCUGGUCUGAGAGGAUGAUCAGCCACACUGGGACUGAGACACGGCCCAGACUCCUACGGGAGGCAGCAGUGGGGAAUCUUGCGCAAUGGGCGAAAGCCUGACGCAGCAACGCCGCGUGCGGGAUGAAGGCCUUCGGGCUGUAAACCGCUUUCAGCAGGAACGAAAAUGACGGUACCUGCAGAAGAAGGAGCGGCCAACUACGUGCCAGCAGCCGCGGUGACACGUAGGCUCCAAGCGUUGUCCGGAUUUAUUGGGCGUAAAGAGCUCGUAGGCGGUUGAGUAAGUCGGGUGUGAAAACUCUGGGCUUAACCCGGAGACGCCAUCCGAUACUGCUCUGACUAGAGUUCAGGAGGGGAGUGGGGAAUUCCUAGUGUAGCGGUGAAAUGCGCAGAUAUUAGGAGGAACACCGGUGGCGAAGGCGCCACUCUGGACUGAAACUGACGCUGAGGAGCGAAAGCAUGGGUAGCAAACAGGAUUAGAUACCCUGGUAGUCCAUGCCGUAAACGGUGGGCACUAGGUGUGGGUUCCAACUAACGGGAUCCGCGCCGUCGCUAACGCAUUAAGUGCCCCGCCUGGGGAGUACGGUCGCAAGACUAAAACUCAAAGGAAUUGACGGGGGCCCGCACAAGCAGCGGAGCGUGUUGCUUAAUUCGAUGCUACGCGAGGAACCUUACCAGGGCUUAAAUGUAAGUUGCAUAGAUCAGAGAUGGUCUUUUCUUCGGACUACUUACAAGGUGCUGCAUGGUUGUCGUCAGCUCGUGCCGUGAGGUGUCAGGUUAAGUCCUAUAACGAGCGCAACCCCUGUCGUUAGUUGCCAGCAAGUAAUGUUGGGCACUCUAGCGAGACUGCCGGUGCAAACCGCGAGGAAGGUGGGGAUGACGUCAAAUCAUCACGGCCCUUACGUCCUGGGCUACACACGUGCUACAAUGGUCGGUACAGAGAGCAGCCACUACGCGAGUAGGAGCGAAUCUAUAAAACCGAUCUCAGUUCGGAUCGCAGUCUGCAACUCGACUGCGUGAAGCUGGAAUCGCUAGUAAUCGGAUAUCAGCCAUGAUCCGGUGAAUACGUUCCCGGGCCUUGUACACACCGCCCGUCAAACCAUGGAAGCUGGGGGUGCCUGAAGUCUGUGACC